CAACUUUGUAGCUAAAGCAAACC
rnacentral:snRNA from 1 species